rnacentral:lncRNA from 1 species
AUUUCACUCAGCUCUCAGAAUCCAUCUAGAACUUGUUUCAGUCCUUGGAAGUUCAAUCAUCUUAAUAAUUGUGUUAGUUUCCAAUGGCUAUGUAACAAAUUACCACAAACUUAGUGGCUUAAAACCAUGCAUAUUUAUUAUCUUAUAGUCCUGGAGGUCAGAAGAACAAAAUGGAUCUCACUGGUCUAAAAUCAAGGUGUCAGCAGGGCUGUGCAUCUUUCUGGAGGCUCAAGGAGAAUCCAUUUUCUUACCUUUUGCCACCACAUUCCUUGUUUCAUGGCCUGUUCCUUCUUCAAAGCCAGUCAUAGCUGGUCGGGCCUUUCUCACAUCACAUCACUCUGACAUUCACUCUUCUGCCUCCCUCUUCCUCAUUUCGGUUCUCUUGUGAUUGCAUCGGAUAAUCCAAGAUACUCUCCUUAUUUUAAAGUCAGCUGAAUGGCAAGCUCAGUUCCAUCUGCAAACUGGAUUCCCUUUUGCAUGUAACCUAUUCACAGUUUCUAGGGAUUAGGAUGUAGACAUCUCUAGGGGAUCAUUAUUCUGCCCACCAUGAUAAUAAGCCCUCACUUUUUUAAAAGCCCUUUUAAAUACCUCAUUUGACCCUAAAAAUGCCUGUGAAACAGGUGAAUGGGUGGGAUUAUCCCCUUUAAUGGAUAAAGAAGCUAAAGUAUGAGUCAAAAAAAUUAAAAUAAAAAAAUAAAACUUGCACAGGCCCCACUCCAAGUUUACUUUGUUUGUUCGAGACGAAGUCUCGCUCUGUCGCCCAGGCUGGAGUGCAGUGGUGCGAUCUCGGCUCACUGCAACCUCCACCUCCCAGGUUCAAGCAAUCCUCCUGCCUCAGCCUCUGAAUAGCUGAGAUUACAGGCUCAUGCCACCAUGCCCGGCUAAUUUUUGUAUUUUUAGUAGAGACGGAGGUUUCACCAUGUUGGCCAGGCUGGUCUCGAACUCCUGACCUGAGGUGAUCCGCCUGCCUUGGCCUCCCAAAGUGCUGGGAUUACAGGUGUGAGCCACCAUUCCUAGCCCAAGUUUACUUUGAAAUAGAGGUGGAACGGAGUUAAGCUAUGGGCCACGGUGUUCAGUCUAUUUCGAGGCUAUUGCUCUAGAUGACAAUGCCUAUCAAAGAGGAGGGAUGUGGGGAAAGUAUGACUUUGUAUGGCCAGCUGUCAGACCUGGAUUCAGAUUGUAUGUUCACACAAACUUGAUCUACCUUUGGAAUUCGUCUCGAGCUUUGUCAUUUCCUCUUCUUGAGUCUGUGAGUCCUUGUUUUUGCCUUCCUGGGUGGCUUUGAAAGUGAUCAAUAUGAUAAUUUUAACACAGAUAGCUACUGUAGAUAGGUAUGACCCAAAUGCAAAGUUACUUAUAUUUAUUAAAAUGAAUGUCAUAGAAAGAUGCUGAAUGGAGAAUAAAAACCAUGGCCCUGAUACUGACAUUGUUGAAUUUUCCAUGAAGGAGGAGUAGACAAUUUGUAACAAGCAAGCAAUAUAUGGACAAACUUUUUUUUUAAAUAAAGGAUGAGUUUUGAAAAAAAAAAAAAAAACUUAGAGAACCUAUGAUACUUAGGACAAUCCUAAAAGCAACUAAUAAAGAGGAAUUCUGACAGCUGUUAUGACUGCCAUCCAAACAUAUAGGACCCAACUAUGUGGUUCUCCCAAUAAGCUUAAUUCCCUCUGCAACUCGACUAGGAAGCUUAGGAAUUGGAUCUUGAAUCUACGGAAAUAAAGGAAUAAAGAAACAAAAAUCUCCAACCUACAAAGAGGCUGGAUUUAAAAGGUUUACACUGAGCUGCUGUUUGCUAGCACUUCCUCUCUGUUUUAUUCUACUUUUUUUUUUUUUUUUUUUUUGGAGUAUAAUUAAAAACUUCUCCAACCUUAGCACAGCUUCUCUGCUUAGGGGUCAGAUUUAAAAAAAAAGCAAAACAAGACACACACAGGAACACCCUAUUGGGGUACUUGAUUGACUUUUAGUCAAUAAUACAGGGAUGUAGGCUUUUAAGCCAGGAAUUAAACUUGAAAACAAUGGUGCCUUCCACGGACACCCUUACCAGGUGACUCAAGGUUGGCAGAACACAUCACAUAUAUCCCCUCAGGUAUGAAAAUGGUAAAUGUAUCCUGGAGUGGCCCAGCAUCUCAGAAAGCAAUUAUAAUAAAAUAUUCCUAGGAUGUGUUUUCCCUGAGGAUGAGUGAUGACUUUGACUCUUCAUCUUCUAACUCCAAAGCACUGCUGUCUCAAAUAGUCAAAAUGACAAGGGAAGGAAUGUUUUCGUUGGAGAGUCUCAACGCUGUUUCCAGCACAUUUUUCCAUUUGCCUGACUGCUCUUGGCCCUGAAUGGAGUCGGAGGUGGAGUUCUUUCUACUGAAAUCAUAAAAGUCUCUUUAUUGGCAUGUGUGCAUUCAGAUAUGCUCUUGGUAUUGCUCAUGUUGUUAGCUGCAGCUGGGUUUGCUGUGAGUGAAUUGUUUUUGUCUUUAGUUAGGAUCACAUGUUGACUCAUGACUGCCUGUAUCCUGCGAUUGGAGUAGGCAUUUUAGUAAGGGGCUUAAUUAUUCUUGUAUUUUUGUUUUGUCUUUUUCACUCUUCAAUCCAUAUGCUUAUUUGGGCUUGCUUGCAAAAGGAAGAAAUAUUUGGUUCAUUCCAUUUUAUGCAAUAAAGGCAAGAGCUUACUGGGGGCUUGGGAGCUGUUUUUAUAACAUAGGGGGCUGUUUUCAUGACCUAGCAGACUGAAGUUUUCAAAAUAAAUUGGGCAAGCCUUAGGCGUUACUAAAAUGUUGUGAGAUAAGGAGUGCACUUGUGCCCCAAUUUGAACUCUGUUAAAAAAAUUUUUAAAAAUCAAAAAUAAAACAAAAACCUUGCAUCAAAGUGUUAAUAUGUAAGCCUGUACAUUUGAGCUCCACAGUCUUUACACAUAUUAAAUCAACAAUCAGUCAGCUGGGCAUGGUGGCUCAGGCCUGUAAUCUCAGCACUUUGGGAGGUCAAGGUGGGUGGAUCACUUGAGGUUAGAAGUUCAAGACUAGCCUAGCCAACACAGUGAAACCCUGUCUCUAGUAAAAAUACAAAAAAUUAGCUGGGUGUGGUAGUACUUGCCUGUAAUCUCAGCUACUCAGGAGGCUAAGGCACAAGAAUCACUUGAACCUGGGAGGCAGAGGUUGCAGUGAGCUGAGAUGGUGCCACUGCACUCCAGCCUGGGUGACAGAGCGAGAUUCUGUCUCAAAAGAAAGAAAAAUAAUCAAUGAGUUCCUUAUUAUUUCUGUAGGACCAAAAAUUGAUUUCAGAAAAUUAAAGUCUGAUGCAUGUGUGUAUUAUUAUUAUUAUUAUUUUGCAAGGUCUCGUUUUGUCACCCAGGCUGGAGUGCGGUGGCACAAUCCUGGCUGACCGCAGCCUCAACCACCCAGGCUCAAGAGAUCCUCCCACCUAAACCUCCUGAAUAGCUAGAACUACCAGCAUGAGCCACCAUGACUGGUUAAUAUUUUUAUUUUUUGUAGACACAGGGUCUCACUAUGUUGCCAGGCUGGUCUCUAACUCCUGAAGUCAGGAGAUCCUUUCACUUUGGCCUCCCAAAGUGCUGGGAUUACAGGCAUGAGCAACAAGUCUGAUAUCUUUUAAAACCUUAUUAUAAAUACUGAAGUAUAAAUAUGGUAAUUUCUCAUAUUUCGAAGCUUAAAAUUUUAAAACACUUUGGAUCAUAGAUUCAGAGGGCUGUGAAGGAGUCAAGAAGUUACAAGUUUGUGGCAAUGGUUUUCUUACUUUUUAAUUUUAAUAAACAGGCCCCUUACUAGAGAAACAGAAAAGUAUGUGGGUAUCUUAACUGGUAUAGAGUGAGCAGAGAUUCAAAUGGCGUGGUGGCUCACGCCUGUAAUCCUGUCACUUUGGGAGGCCAAGAUGGGCGGAUCACCUGAGGCCAGGAGUUUGAGACCAGCCUGACCCACAUGGUGAGACCCUGUCUCUACUAAAAAUGCAAAAAAAUUAGCUGGGCGCAGUGGUGUGUGCCUGUAAUCCCAGCUACUAGGGAGGCUGAGGCAGGAGAAUUGCUUGUACCCAGGAGGCGGAGGUUGCAGUGAGCUGAGAUGGCGCCACUGCACUCCAGCCUGGGCAACAGAGCCAGACUCCGUCUCAAAAAAAAAAAAAAAAAAAAAAAAAAACCUCUUCAGUGCAGGAACAGUAUCUUACUCAUCAUAGAAUCCUGUGCCUGCCACGCAAUAGAACCUCAAUUAGCUGGGCGUGCUGGAGUGUGCCUGUAGUCCCAGCCACUCAGGAGGCUGAGGCAGGAGGAUCACUUGAGCCCGGGAGUUCUGGGGCUGUAGUGCACUAUGCUAAUCUGGUGUCCACACUAAGUUCGGCAUCAAUAUGUUGACCUUCUGGGAGUGGGAGACCACCAGGUUGCCUAAGGAGAGGUGAACCAGCCCAGGUUGGAAAUGGAGCAGGUCAAAAACUCCCAUGCUGAUCAGCAGUGGGAUCACACUGCAUGCACUCCAGCCCGGGCAACAUAGCGAGACCCUGUCUCUAUUUAAAAAACAAACAAACAAACAACAACAACAACAAAAAACCCUCAGUUAAUUUGUAGAACUGAGCUGUGUAGGAAAGCUUUGGAAUUAGACAUGCCUCAAUUUGAAUCCCAGUUCUGCCAAUUACCAGCUAGGUGAUCUUGGUUAACUUAUUAGAAUACUCUGUUUUUCUCAUUUUCAAAAUGGGAAAUGGUAUUAUAAUUAUAAAGUUAACAUAAUAUACAAGUGUUAUAAUACCUUAGAGGAGUAAAUAAGAUAGCACAUGAAAGCACGUAGCAUUUCACAAGGACCUACUUCAGCAAAUGACAAUCUUUUAAAUUACUCUACCAAAGGGUUUUCCCAUUUAAAAAAAUUAAUCAAAUAUACAUCUCUUUAACUUUCAGUCAGCUUUGACCAACAUGAAAUGACUGAGGAUAAUGCUCUGAGUUAGUGAAAUUCCAACCACAGGCAAAAAACCAAAAAAAAAAAAAAACUCCAAAAAACAAAAAACAGACUUUUUAGUUAGCUUGCUAAGCCUUUCUAUAGGUAAACGUAUUAUUAGAUUUUUAAAAAACAAUGAGAGUAGCUUCUGGACCCUUUUUUGCCACUUUCCUUGGCCCCUAGAAGUCGGAGGGUCCAAGGCUGAGCAAUGUUCCUGCUUUGGCUUCUAGAUCGGACAGGUCUAAAUCAACCUUAAUAUAUCUUUGGAGCAUGUGUUUAGAGAGAGGGAGCACUGCAGAGUGAAAAAGCAUGAUCUUUGGAACCAGACAAGGUUAGGUCUAAAUUCUGUCUUCUGUUUACUUGCUGUGUGACCCUGAGCAAGUUCCUUAACUUCUCCUGAGUUUUAGUUUUAGCUUCUGUAAAAUGGGAAUAAGAUCUGCCUUACAGAGUUGUCAUGAGAAUUGAAUGAGAUAUUGAUAAAGUCCCAGCACACUGCCUGGCACAUUGCAGGCAUCCAAUUAAAUGGUGGUUGUUAUUUGCAUGAGUUUUGGGGAUCCAGCAAAAUUUGAGCAUUUAUCUUAACGUAAAAGUGGUUAUUGGUUUUAAGAUUAGGAUUCAUUUUCAUGCCACAAAGAUUCAAAUAUGAGUAAAUGUGGCAUUUCUAUUUUGUAGAAAGUUUAUGAAAAAAAGCUGCUAUGUAUUAAGAACAGGAGGCAGGAGCUCUGAGUUCUAACAACUUGCUUAUUCCUUCAUCUGUGCAUUCAGUCAACAUUACUAAGUGCAUAAGCACUGUCAUAUGCACUGGAGAUAUCAUGAAUAAGAGUGGUGCCUGUCCCCAAGAUGCUCAGUGACUGUAGGACUGUGGGAGGAACAAAUAUUCAGAAUUCCAUAGAAGAUGUGACAGUUGAGCCAGGCAUUAAAAAAUAAGUAGAGUUUCACCACAUAGAUAAGAUUACUACUUCAGGCAGACAGAGCAGUUUGGAGGGAAAGUCUGCAGGUAAAACCCAGAAUGGUGCAUGGGAAGAACUGCAGCUUGAAGGAGUGGGGAAGAGCAAGAUGAAGUCAGGCAGGUGGAAAGAGGCCUAAUAUGCCAGGCUAGGGAGUUUGGGUGUUAUCCUGCAGGAAAUGAGAGUCCUUCGUUUGUUUGUUUGUUUUGUUUUUGAUACAGGGUCUUACUCUUGCCCAGGCUGGAGUGCAGUGGUGUGAUCACAGCUCACUGUAGUCUCAACUUCCUGGGCUCAAGCAAUCCUUCCACCUCAGCCUCCAGAGUGGCUGGGACUAGGGGCACAAACUAUGCCUAGCUAUUUUUUUCUAUUUUUUGUAGAGACAGGGCAUCACUAUGUUGCCCAGGCUGGUCUCAAACUCCUGGGCUCAAGCAAUCCUCCUGCCUUGGCCUUGCAAAGUGCUAAGAUUACAGGCAUGAGCCACGAUGCCCAGCCUGGAAAUGAGAGUCUUAACAAAUUUUAAGGAGAGUAGUGUCAUGAUCAGAUUUGGUUUUAGAUUUCCUGAUAAACACAAUCAUAGGGCUGGUAUGGUAAAGUUGAGGAGACAUUACUACAACAAGAAAGCGCACAGUGAGAUUGCUAUCCUACUUGAUCUGGGCAUUACAUUUCUAUUAAUAUGUGCUUAUCGUCUCCUAGGACUACCCAGAUGUUUUUCCCUGAAAAACAGCACAGAAUUAUAUACUAGUGAACUUUUUGAAAAGUACAUGUUGGAGAAGGGUGUGUGUGCGCAUGUGUAAAAUGUAUUUGGAUCUGGCAUUUCAGCUUGUUAGGAGAUUCUUUUGAAAUGUGAUUGUAUCAUCAAUCAAAUUAGUUCUCCCUCUCAGCUUUCUAUCAUUUUCAAAUGUGGCAACAAUGACUUAUAAUGCUGUUUAAAUAUAGAUAGACCAUUCAUCGCCUACAGCAUGAAGUUCAAACUCUUUAUAAUAAUCUAUUAUUUAAAAGACUGAUAACUUCCGACGCCAGUCUUUUCAGCUCAUCUCAACCCAUUCUCUUCUACACACCUUAUAUUUUAAUGACACAAAACUACUUUUGGUUCUGUUCAGGCCUUAUAUUUUUAAAUGUCUAUAUCUUUACCCAUGCUGUUCCAUCUGUUGAAAGCCUAUCCUACCCUCUA